rnacentral:lncRNA from 1 species
ACAUAUUAAUAUAAACUGAUACGUAAUAUCAAGCCACUGGAAACCUGCCUCAGAGUUUAAUAAUAUCUCUUCCUGGUCUCCCAAGGCUUAGCUAGCACAGGGACCAUCUGUGCUUAUGGCGAAGAGAAUGCCUUAGUAUGUGUGAGGUGACAAUGUUUUUCUCACAGUUAGUAAACAGCCGAGUUGGGAUGAAAAUCCAGGCAUGUGCAUUUCCAGACUGAGGGUGUAAACAUGAUGCUACAUGUCAUGCUAAGCACCUAGAAAAAACCAUUACCCAGACCUCUUGCUGCUGGUUAUCUACUCAGAAAAAAGAGGACUUGAGGGUAAACACUUCAAUCUUUGUUGAUUAAGAAAAAAGGUCAGUAAGUCUAUUGAAUCCUUAAAUCCCAAAGGAAUGUUUCCUUCAUGCUGGGCACUCAGAGAAUAAGGAGUUAAUGCUUGGUGGUGAGAAAGGGGUUAUAGCUACUUCAGCUGCAUCAUAGAUUCACUUCUUUCUUGCAAGUCUUUGCUUUUCACCUGCUGAGCAAAUAAAUAUCACCAAGGAACAAGAUGUUUUCUUUCCUGUCAUUCUGAAUUCAAGUGUAGCCACUUCAAAUGAUGGCAGGAGUGAUUUUUAGAAAAGGAAAGGUGAGGGAGUAGGAGGAGGUCCUAUGAAAGUGCCUAAGGAAAGAAAAUGGGGAGGGUGAUUUGGGGGACGUUUGCGUGGGUCUUUAGGCAUUUCCUGGUUUCAGGUUCUGGCUUCCCUGGUGGCUCAGAGGUUAAAGUGUCUUCCUGGAAUGCGGGAGACCCAGGUUNNNNNNNNNNNNNNNNNNNNNNNNNNNNNNNNNNNNNNUGGCAACCUACUCCAGUACUCUUGCCUGGAGAAUCCCAUGGAGGGAGGAGGCUGGUGGGCUACAGUCCAUGGCAUCACAAAGAGUCGGACACGACUGAGCGACUUCACUUCACUUUAGGCAUUUCCUGGUUUCAGGUUCUGGCUGAGUUCAUUGCAGAUAUCCUAUGGUCACUUUGGCUGUGGUCCCAGAGCUAUAGAAAGGUACAAGGGUUUCACAUUUGUGAGAGAAGGAGAUAG